UACGGGGGGAGCAAGCGUUGUUCGAAUUUACUGGGCGUAAAGGGCGCGUAGGCGGCCAGCACAAGUCAGUUGUGAAAUCUCCGAGCUUAACUCGGAAAGGUCAACUGAUACUGUGCGGCUAGAGUGCGGAAGGGGCAACUGGAAUUCUUGGUGUAGCGGUGAAAUGCGUAGAUAUCAAGAGGAACACCUGCGGCGAAGGCGGGUUGCUGGGCCGACACUGACGCUGAUGCGCGAAAGCUAGGGGAGCGAACGGG
rnacentral:rRNA from 1 species